rnacentral:rRNA from 1 species
UACAGAGGUCUCAAGCGUUGUUCGGAUUCAUUGGGCGUAAAGGGUGUGUAGGUGGCGCGCUAAGUCGGGUGUGAAAUUUCGGAGCUUAACUCCGAAACUGCAUUCGAUACUGGCGUGCUUGAGGACUGGAGAGGAGACUGGAAUUCAUGGUGUAGCAGUGAAAUGCGUAGAGAUCAUGAGGAAGACCAGUGGCGAAGGCGGUUCUCUGGGCAUUACCUGACGCUGAGGAGCGAAAGCAUGGGGAGCGAACAGG